rnacentral:lncRNA from 1 species
CAUCUUCCACGUACGUUAUCUUCCCUUCUCUAAUGUGCGGAAGCACAAACUCCAAGAACUUUGAGUAUUUGUCAUAGAAAUCAAAAACUACAAAGCCUUGAAUGCGGAUUCGUUUGUAGAUUAUGUUGGAUAGGUUGUGUACACCUUCCUGGUUCUCAAGAUUGUACUGUGAGAUCAUUCCACAGACAGCGAUACGCCCGUGUGGGUUCAUGUUUACGAGCACUGCGUUUAGCAUUUUGCCUCCUACAUUCUCAAAGUAUAUGUCAAUGCCAUUAGGGAAACACCUGGAAAAGAAAAGGAGAAUAUUUCUUAGAUUAGUCAAAAAGCAAUUGAUUAGAUAUUAAUCAAUUGAGUUUAUCCCCAAUUAAGUGGUUUCACAGGUAGAAUCAUGGUGUUCAUGCUAUUAUCCAUUUCUUUUGUUUCUACUUUAGUUUUGAAUUCUGGCUUUAUUAUGCAAACCGAUCCUAACAGUUAUAGACAUCAAACAGUUCAAAAUUAGUGGUAAUUAACCAAACCUUUUGAGGGCAGCAGUAAGGUCAGGUUCUUCCUUGUAGUUAAAUGCAUCAUCAAACCCAAACUUGGUCUUGAGGAGAUCAACCUAAAAAGAAGUAAAGGGGUAAUCAUUCUCUUGAAUGAGAACUAAGAAACAUAAGGAAACAAAUCAUGGAAAUGAUGAUCAAAUUCUCACCUUUUCUUUGCUACCAGCGCUUCCAACAACAUAGCAGCCCAACAUCUUAGCAAAUUGCCCCACAAGCUGACCAACCGCACCAGAUGCAGCUGACACAUAAACUGUCUCUCCUUUCUUUGGAGAACAAACUUCAUAAAACCCAGCAUAGGCGGUCAUACCGGGCAUACCUGUCAGGACAGGACAAAACCCAUCAGAGAGUGAAUAUAUGAAACAGAUCAACAAACCAAACAGUUGAAACUCUAGUCUUCUAGCUAGAUUGAAGUUAUAACUAAUUCCAUUCCUAUGUUUCAAAGAUUUGUUAGACAUCCAUAACGAUUAUGACAUUCAACUACAUGAUCUUUGUCUCAAGCCAAAACUUUGUAUGAAGAAGCAGAGAUUUCCAAAGUUUACAGAAUGAUUCCACUUACAAAACCAUGAAAACGGCAGAGAUUAACAUACCGAGAAGUCCCGUGUAGUAAGAUAAUGGAACAUCGGUAUGCUGGAUCUUGAAAUGCACGUGAGGUGUUGGAGUGAUAACAGAGUACUCCUCCCAUGCAACUAUACCCCAGAGUAAGUCUCCUUUUUUGUAAUCUGGAUGUCCAGAUUCUACCACUCUGGACACUACAUACCCUUGGAUUGGCUGCACCAAAACACACAAUGGGAAUUAAAAACAGUCAACAAGAUAGAGAUAGCAAAAAGUAAAACCCAAAGAGACACAAUUUAUUCUCAGAGUCAUCUUCAAGAACACCAAACCGUCAUCACAAAAAGUAUACUAUUAUUAUAAUAAGAUAUUGUUCUGUUCACAAAGUAUAAGUAUUUAUAUGCCAAAAGAGAAUUCAAAUAAUAAUCAUGCAAACCAAACCAAACAUUAUCAUCAUAGUCGAUGGUACCUGGCCGGGAGUGUAAGCUUGAGCAAGAGCAGCAGUGGAAGGAUCAGGUUUCCCCAUGCGAAUCCUCAUGUAAGGAUCGCAUGACAAGUAGAGAUUCUUCACCAGAACCAAGUUAGAACCUUCCGGAACCUUAAGUUCGACGGUGGUGGUUGUGAAAUCGAAAUCGGAUUCCUUAGGGAAACCAUUCACGUAGUCUUUCAAUAUGACCUGCUUGUUCGUCGCCGUCAUCGUUAACUCUUCUUCCUCGAUUCAACUUCUGACUUCACCCAUUUGUUACUUCUUCUUCGGUUUUUCGAGGACGUGGCUGUUUUUAUAGUGACAUCUCCUGUGUGCCACUAAUCAAUCUCAUGAUAUCAACUUAUCAAGUAUGACGUCACUGCUUAUGUUUAUUAUUUAUCAGAUACUUUCUCUUUCGAGGCUUCGAGCGUUUUUUUUUUUUUCACAUUUUUGGUAUAUAUCUCCUUUCACGUUUUCAUUUUUUUUUUUUUUUUUUUUUUUUUUUGAAGUAGUAGUAUUAAAUUUCUCAUUAAUGAUAUAUGAAUAUCUAGAAGUAGUAGUAUUAAAUUUCUCAAUAAUGAAGUAGUACUCCCUCCGUUUCGUUUUAGUUGUCGUUUAAGGUUUUUUCACACAAAUUAAGAAAGCAUUAAAUUUUCUGUUUUACUCUUUAUUAAUAUAUUUUAUAAAAAAAUUCAUUGGCCAAAACAUUAAAACUGUAGGGAUAAAACUGGAAUUUUCACCAAACAUUUGCAUUGAAAACCUAAAACGACAACUAUUAUGAAACAAAAUUUAAAUCCUAAAACGACAACUAAACUGAAACGGAGGGAGUAGUACACUACAGAUGUAAAAAACUUGAGCGUUUUUUAUCCUUUUAAACUGUAGUAGUAUUAAAUUUCUCACUAAUGAUAUCUGAAUUUUUUUUGUAUCGGGCUAUAUAUUUUGUUAAAACUUCAGUGAUCUCUCUAAAGUCUAAACGUAACACUGUGGUUAAUCCAGAUUCAAUAGCUCUAUUGGUAGUCUGGUACUAGCAGACUUUCCAAAGAAAAUUUGCCUCAAGGUCUUCGCUAUUAUAGAGAAAAACUUGCUUUGAUCCUCGACCAGAGGGGAGGGUACCUACGGACCUGAAACCCAUAAUGGCAUAAUCUUUGAGUUGCCAAAAUUUAAACACGUUGUGGUCAAUAUCCUCAUUUGUGGUCACCUAACUGACAAAAUUGGGUAGUUUACUAAUUUACCAGAGAGACAACACAUAUGACAUAUCUCACCAAACCUACAAAACAGUAUCCCAGCUUCCCAAUAGUUCCCGCAAAACAGAGCCAUGUAAUUGUGAUUUUGAUGUUAGCAGCAACACUAACUGUAGUCAUUGAUGUUUAAACACGCAUACUGGGGAGUUGGGAAUAUGAGCUACAAAACAUGGGUUUGUAUUUUUCUUUUUUUUUUUGGAUUUGUGAGAGAGGUUUGGGCUUCUUUGUUACUACUUCCAUACAUUUUAUGAACAAUUCACAUAAAACCAAUAACAAACAAAUUCAUAUUACUGUAUAUUAAAAUUUACUAUAUUUACUCUUUAUUAUUCAUAAACCAGAAACUCACGGUUAGGUUCAACAGCCAUACAAAAUAUUGUUGGAUAAAUAUAACAUUACUCCCAAAUAAGUAUUCUUCAAUCACGCUCAAUACAACAUUACUCCCAAAUAAGUAUUCUUCACUCACGAGCAACAACGACAACUUGUUUCCCAACGUUCUUACCAUGGAAGAGUCCCACAAGCGCUUCAGGACCUUUCUCAAGCCCAUCAGCUACAUCUUCCACAUACGUUAUCUUCCCUUCUUUAAUGCACGGAAGCACAAACUCCAAGAACUUUGAGUAUUUGUCGUAGUAAUCAAACACUGCAAAGCCUUGAAUGCGGAUUCGUUUGUAGAUUAUGUUGGAUAGGUUGUGUACACCUUCUUGGUUUUCAAGAUUGUACUGUGAGAUCAUUCCACACACAGCGAUACGUCCGUGUGGGUUCAUGUUUAAGAGCACUGCGUCUAGCAUUUUGCCUCCUACGUUCUCAAAGUAUAUGUCUAUGCCUUUGGGGAAACACCUGGAAAAAGAAGAAGAAGAGAAUCUCUCUUAGAUUAGUAACAGAGCAGUCGAUAAGAUAUCAAUCAAGAUAAAACCGUUUUUUUUUAAUUCACAAAAAUGUUCUAAUUACGGAUUACGGAGUUUCAUUGUAUUUUUCUCCAUUCUUAAGUGGUUUUCCACUUAGAACCAUGCUUUUAUCCAUUUCUCUCGUUUCUACUUUAGUUGUGAAUUGCCGCGUUAUUCUGCACACUAAUCCUCACACUUAUAGACAUCAAACAGUUCAAAAUAAGUGGUAACCGAACCUUUUCAGGGCAGCACUAAGGUCUGGUUCUUCCUUGUAGUUAAAUGCAUCAUCAAACCCAAACUUGGUCUUGAGGAGAUCAACCUAACAAAUCCCCAAAAAAGAAGUAAAAGGGCUAAUCAAUCUCUUGAAGGAUAACCAAGAAGCAUAAGGAAACAAAUAUGGAAGUGAUGAUCAAAUUCUCACCUUUUCUUUGCUACCGGCGCUUCCAACAACAUAACAGCCCAUCAUCUUAGCAAGUUGUCCCACAAGCUGACCAACCGCACCAGAUGCAGCAGACACAUAAACCGUCUCUCCUUUCUUUGGGGAACAAACUUCAUAAAACCCAGCAUAGGCAGUCAUACCAGGCAUACCUGUCAGGAACAGAGAAAACUCAUGAGGAGAGAAUACAUUAAACAGACUUGACUCCUUGUAAAUUGAAGUUUAGAACUCAACAUAAGUGAGUUUCUAAUCAACAAAACUAUUAUACAGGGUUAUGACAUUUCAACUUCAUGAUCCCUGCUGUAUUCUGAAGUUUCACCAAGUGAUUCCCGUUACAAAACCAGAACAAGGCCGAGAUUAACAUACCGAGAAGUCCAGUAUAGUAGGAUAAUGGAACAUCGGUAUGCUGGAUCUUGAAAUGAACUUGAGGUGUUGGAGUGAUAACACUGUACUCCUCCCAUCCAACUAUCCCCCAGAGUAAAUCACCUUUUUGGUAAUCUGGAUGUCCGGAUUCUAUCACUCUAGACACUCCAUACCCAGAAAUUGGCUGCACCAAAAACAAAAUGGAACAACAGUCACCACCAGAGAGAGAGAGAGAGAGAGCAAAACCCCAAGAAACACAUUUUCCUCUCAGAGUCUUCAAGAACACUAAUCUAAAGUUAUCAUAUCAUUGUCAUCUAGUUCAUAUAAAUAAGAAGCAUCCAGAUUAAUUUCUGGGGGUAUAAAAACACUAUCACUUACAGAAAUAAGUCAUCAUUCUGGUCACAAAGUAUAGUUUAUUAUAUCCAAAAGUAUAAUCACAUAAUAAUAAUCUAAACAAAAAAACGAGCUCGAACCAAACCAAAACAAAACAAACAUUAUCAUCCGAUUCGAAUUUCACCGGAGAGAUUUUCCUUAUUGGAGAAUAAAGUAGAUCAUCGUCGAUGGUACCUGGCCGGGAGUGUAAGCUUGAGCAAGAGCAGUGGAUGGUUUAGGUUUGCUCAUGCGAGUCCGCAUGUAAGGAUCGCAUGACAGGUAGAGAUUUUUCACCAGAACCGAGUUAGAACCUUCCGGAACCUUAAGUUCGACGGUGGUGGUUGUGAAAUCGAAAUCGGAUUCCUUAGGGAAACCACUCACGUAGUCUUUCAAUGUCACCUGCUUGUUCGUCGCCGUCGUCGUCAUCGUUAAUUCUUUUCCGAUUCAAUUUCUGAUUUCACCAAUUUUUGUUACUUGGGAUUCUAGUGGACGCGCCUGCUUUUUAUAGUGGCCUAUCUCUCUCGUAAUAUCAAAGUGUGACGUCACUGCUUAUGAUUGAUCCCAAUGUUCACAAUUUUGAUCUCUCUUAGCUUGGACAAAUAAACCGAACCGAAUGUAUUGAACUGAAACCAAAACAAAAAAAUUGAACCGAAUUGAACCGAAAAUUUGAAAAUAAUCUAAUGGAUACUAAAUUCUAUAACCAAAAUAACCGUAACCGAAUCGAUAUCGAACCGAAAUAUUUCGGAUAAAAUAAAUACAAUUAUAUUUUCAAAAUAAUUAAUUAUUUAUAGACCAAAUAAUCAAAAAUACUUGAAAAAUAUAUAAAAAUACUCAAAAAUAAACGAAAUAUAUCCAAAAAUAUCUGAAAAUACUCAAAAAUAACCGAAAUAUCCAAAAAUAUCCUAAACAAAAUAACCGAAUGGAUACUAAAUUUUAAAACCAAAAGAACCGCAACCGAACCGAACCGAAAUUUCAAAAUAUCCAAAUGGAUACUAAAUUUUGAAACCGAAAGAACCGAAAUCGAAUGGACCCAACCAAUAACCGAACGGUUAACCGAAAUCCCAGGCCUAAUUUUUCUCUUUCGACCGUAUUUUUUUGUCGACACUUUCACAUUUUGUUAUUAUUACAUUUCCUUUCACAUUUAUUUUUCUUUCCAAUUCUGUAUUGUUGUCACAUUUUCAGUGAUUUCACAAGAGUUAAGUGUUUAUACAUUACAAAUGUCCGAAACUUUAUUUUAUUAAUAUGAAUUAAAUUUUGAGGAUCAAAAUUAAAAGUAUAGCUGACAAAAGAAGCAAAACAGUGGUGAAUUACUACAUUGAUUGAGAACCUUCGGAGCAUCGUUGAUUUGGGACAUGCAGCAAGAACAGACGAGAACCUUCGGAUAAUCAUUAUACAAAAUUAUACUUUUUUCUUCUUUUUUUGGUAAACUACAAAAUUGUACUUCGGAGUAUUUUUUUAUGUUUUUUUCCUUUUUUCUAACUUAAAUAGUGUGUAGAUAAUUAUUACAAAUGAUUUUUUAAGACAUGAAUUUUGGUACAUGUGUGUUUGCUCGAGCAUUAGAGCUUCUCAUGUGACAUUGCUUCAAAUAACCUGCUGGUGUGUGAAGAUUCAUUUCCCAUUUUGUGCGGCACAUUUACGAUUCACUAACAUUUGUAAGACACACGAUUCACUAACAUUUGUAAGACACACGACUUUGUGGUUUUAAGCAAAGAAAAAACAUAAAUUUUAGAGACAUUUGGCUUCAAUUCCCUCAAGAGUGAGACCCUUUGUCUCCUGAAACAGUGAAGAAUAUGAAGACCAGAGACAAAACACAUAUCAAACCAAACCCAAAAAACAGUAUACCAACUCCCAAUAGUUCCCGCAAAACAGAGCCAUGUGAUUGUGAUUGUGAUUAUGUCCCCUAAUAAUGAAGAAAGGGGUUGCACAAAUAGCAACAGUAACAAUAUUCACUGAUGUUUAAACACGCAUACUUGGUAUUUGGUAACAUAACCUAAUUACAUUUUUGAAUUUGUGAGAGGGGUUUGGGAUUGUUUGUUACUACUUUGAUACAUUUCAAUUUGAUGAACAAGUCACACAGAAUAUGAUUCGAAACCAUAACUAACAAAUUGAUAUAUAUAUAUAUUAAAAAUUUACUUGAAUUACUAUUAUUUAAUAAACCAAAAACUCAGGCUUGGGUUCGAACACCCAUACAAAAUCUGUUGGAUAAAUAUAACAUUACUCCCAUAACAAAAAUAUAUUCACUCACGAGCAAUAACAACAACUUGUUUCCCAACGUUCUUACCAUGGAAGAGUCCCACAAGAGCUUCGGGAGCUUUCUCAAGCCCAUCAGCCACAUCUUCCACGUACGUGAUCUUCCCUUCUUUGAUGCACGGAAGCACAAACUCCAAGAACUUUGAGUAUUUGUCAUAGAAAUCAAGAACUACAAACCCUUGAAUGCGGAUUCGUUUGUAGAUUAUGUUGGAUAGGUUGUGUACACCUUCUUGGUUUUCAAGAUUGUACUGUGAGAUCAUUCCACAAACAGCUAUACGCCCGAGUGGGUUCAUGUUUAAGAGCACUGCGUCUAGCAUU